AAUAAAGUGCCUGAUUAAAGGGUUAUUCUGAUAGGAUAAAUUAUAUAGAUUACUCUAUCUUUA
rnacentral:tRNA from 1 species